GGACCAUUGGUUGGUUAUAAAAGAGCUGAACCCUAUGUAAUGUACGAGCUUACUUUCGAGAAUGGGGCACUGUCACAGCAUGUAAGAUUAAGAUGCGCCCCAAUUUGGAGGGAAGAAGGCACUGGCGUAUGUGAGGUUUUCUACAGCGGAUGAAGCGGACAGAGCAGAAUGGGCUGCUCCUCACUACAUUGGAGGCGAUGUGGAUGUAAAACAAGUUGUUAGUCCAAAGAUGAGGAGGUCACCGCAGCCGUUGCUAUAACUCAACCACGCCGUUGAAUGGGCUUGGGCUACAUCCUGGAAGAUGCUCAGUGGUUAUGAUGAGUUGGACGGAUAAAGAAAUACCGUGCAACUUUGUCUUUAAGUUUAAAAUCAUAAAUGUAUGUUUGAGUUCAUUUAGAGAUUGUAAACUAACGUGGCUCGGAAAAAUCGAUGUGGCUGCAGUGAAAUAUUCUGUAAACACAAAGACAAAAAAACACAAGGAUAUAAAUAAAGCAGCAAAUCCUCGGCUAGGCCUAUGUAAGAACACAUCCUACACCUAUGGAUAUUUGUUUAGCUGAGUUGAUGUGAUAUAUAUUUUAUUGUACUGAUUCUAUGUUGUGUCUUAUGAUUGUCUACCUUGGGUGGAUAAUAACAUUGUAUUCUAUGUGUUUAAUGUUUGUCUAGAACAUAGUGGUGUUAAAAUAUAUAUUAUGUUAACUCCCUUUGUGCAGCCACUGUUGAUGAAUGCAAUAUGAUUAGUAAUUUAUAAAUGAUAUGACACUGCUAACCCAUCUAUAAUUGCCUAAAGAGAUGUAGCUACAUCAC